GACGUAGGGGGCCAGCGUUGUUCGGAAUUACUGGGUGUAAAGGGUUCGUAGGCGGUGCGGCAAGUUGGGAGUGAAAUCUCUGGGCCCAACCCAGAGGCUGCUUCCAAAACUGCUGUGCUUGAGUGUGAGAGAGGCUCGUGGAAUUGCAGGUGUAGCGGUGAAAUGCGUAGAUAUCUGCAGGAACACCCGUGGCGAAAGCGGCGAGCUGGAUCACUACUGACGCUGAGGAACGAAAGCUAGGGGAGCAAACAGG
rnacentral:rRNA from 1 species